GUGUUCUCUUGGGGAGCACAUAUACUAAAGUUGGAAUGAUGAAGAGAAUAUCAUGGCUCCCACACAAGGAUGCCACACAAAUUUGUGAAGCAUUCCAUAUAUAA